UUGCCCUUAGUAACGGCGAGUGAAGCGGCAAAAGCUCAAAUUUGAAAUCUGGUACCUUCGGUGCCCGAGUUGUAAUUUGGAGAGGGCAACUUUGGGGCCGUUCCUUGUCUAUGUUCCUUGGAACAGGACGUCAUAGAGGGUGAGAAUCCCGUGUGGCGAGGAGUGCGGUUCUUUGUAAAGUGCCUUCGAAGAGUCGAGUUGUUUGGGAAUGCAGCUCUAAGUGGGUGGUAAAUUCCAUCUAAAGCUAAAUAUUGGCGAGAGACCGAUAGCGAACAAGUACAGUGAUGGAAAGAUGAAAAGAACUUUGAAAAGAGAGUGAAAAAGUACGUGAAAUUGUUGAAAGGGAAGGGCAUUUGAUCAGACAUGGUGUUUUGUGCCCUCUGCUCCUUGUGGGUAGGGGAAUCUCGCAUUUCACUGGGCCAGCAUCAGUUUUGGUGGCAGGAUAAAUCCAUAGGAAUGUAGCUUGCCUCGGUAAGUAUUAUAGCCUGUGGGAAUACUGCCAGCUGGGACUGAGGACUGCGACGUAAGUCAAGGAUGCUGGCAUAAUGGUUAUAUGCCGCCCGUCUUGAAACACGGACCA
rnacentral:rRNA from 1 species